GUGUUUUGCUAUAGUAUCCCUCACAUUAUCAUUUACAUGCUUUGUUAAAUUAUCAAUCGUUUUUCUCAGUUGAAAUUGAGAGAUGCAAAUAUAGAGAACCAUAUGUUGGAGGCUCCCACUCAAGAACUCCAUGAUGAGAUUUAUCAUCUCUAUUAUCAUAACUCGGGACUAGGUUCCCAAGUGACGGUAAUGAGUGCAAUGGGAUACGAGAUCAUCACGAGGACCAACGAUGUCCAAUUAGUACAUCGAUAGGCUCGAGAGCGUUGUUAAUCGGUUAAUCAUCCAUCUUAUCUGCUAAAUAAUUAAUUACAUUUUAUCUGCCAAUUAAUUUCCACUGUCCGACUUUCUCGGCUUACCUUGUUGAAAGACCGGAUUAUUGUAUUAUUGUUUUAAUGUCAUUGUUCAGACUUAUUUAGUGGUUUA